ACCCAGGCGCCCCAACUUUACUUUGAUUCUGAUGGUCACAACAUAAGCAGAGUUUCCAGUAAGGAUAAAGCUGUGAUCUUCAGAUGAUGACACCUGAUGCUCAUACACAUCACUGAAGCCAAGUGGCGACAUGAUACACUGCAUCCAAGCUGCUUUCAUGAAUAAGAAAUAUGAAGCACCGGAAAUUUAAGUGAUUUGCCCAAGAUCACCGCACAGCCAGAUGCCAUCUUUCAUGUAAGCAAUGGCCAAAAAAUCAAGCCUUCGGUCUUGGACUGAAUUAUAUGUCUGGCUUUCCCGGUUCUCAGUUUGCAGACAGACAGCAGAUUGUGAGACUUAGCCUCCAUAACCUCUAAUAGGUAUUGCCUAAUACAACUGCAGAACACAAUUGAUGGAAAUGCUAAAUAAAGAGAUAGAAGUGUUCCCAUCCAGGUUUAUAUACCACCAGUCCAAAGAAAAGUUUGCCACUAGCCUGGGAACACAAUAUGGCUUAAAGAUACUGCUGAGAGAUGUCCCAGGACUUACUUUGGCGGUGCAGUCACCAACAGAGACAACAGAGGAAAAUUAGUGGAUUGAGGAGAUGUUGGAGAGAAGAGUCUCAUGAGUGAGGAAGUCAAUUUUAGUUUGAAUUCAAAGAAACUGAACAAAAAUA